GGUCCUACGGGGGGCAGCAGUGAGGAAUAUUGGUCAAUGGGCGGGAGCCUGAACCAGCCAAGUCGCGUGAAGGAAGAAGGUACUUAGUAUUGUAAACUUCUUUUGUCGGGGAACAAAGGCGGAGACGCGUCUCCGGAUGAGUGUACCCGAAGAAAAAGCAUCGGCUAACUCCGUGCCAGCAGCCGCGGUAAUACGGAGGAUGCGAGCGUUAUCCGGAUUUAUUGGGUUUAAAGGGUGCGCAGGCGGGAGAGCAAGGCAGCGGUAAAAUGUCGGGGCGCAACCCCGGCCGGGCGGUGGAACUGGGU
rnacentral:rRNA from 1 species